UUCUUCUUCCUUUACUCAUCCCCAGAAUCAGAAGACAAAAACCCAAUUCUCCUCCUCUGCUCUAAACCUACCGCCACCAUCUCCAUCGCUACGAUCACUUUCUUCAUAAUCCCACCACCACCACCACCACAGAUGCAACGUGUAGUAUUGAAAUCUUCAUCGCCGCCGCCGCCGCCGCCGGAUCAAGAACAAAUAGAUCUAGUAAUUGGAUUGAUUAUCUUCUCUCCUUUUGGAUUUGUAUUUUCGUGAUACAAAUCAAAGUUCAAGUUACGUCGAUUCCUAAAUUGGUGAUGGAGAUUAAAGGUGAUUUAGGUGAUUAUCUUUCUUCUCUUGUUUAAGUUUAUGCUGGUAGUGGUGGUAUUCUGAGUUGAUUGUUGUUAUUGUUGGUGGUGGUGGUGAGGGUAGGAUGAUGAGAUAGGUGAGGGAGAUAGUGGAGAUUCUGGAAGUUGAGGUGGUGGUGGAGAUUUGGUGUGAUUUUGGUGGUUGGGAGAUGGUGGUGGUGAUUUCUUUUGGCUGUGAAGGAAGAAGUGUAUCCAAAAGAUGAUGAGAUGAUUUCCCAUAUGAAUCAAUUGGACUUUACAAGCAUGGAUUGAUGGCACAUCAUAUGUAGACUUCAUUGCCAUUGUAAUUAAGGGAUGCUAGAAAGACUGUUAGGGAUAGUUCAUUUGGUCCUUGGGGAUUCAUUUGCCAUCUUGAAAUUUAGUUUAAAGACACCUCAAGGCGACCUUAUUACUAUAAGAAACCAUUGUAGAAUGUGUGAAGGAUUUAGUUUCUGGUCCUCUGAGUUUGACCUUAAGAGUAUAGAUCAUUGACAAGAUAUGAAAUAUUGUUGUAAAGUAUGCUGUUUUGGAGAUGCUUGUGAGUGGUGUUACCAAGAAAGUGCAGUGGGCUUAUGGGUGUUGGUGGUGUUGGAAUUGGUGGUUAGCUGGUUGACCGAUCACAACUGCUCUGUGGGGAAGGUAAAAAUGGUUGUUGCAGAUAUUAUAUUUUGUAUCUUAAGAAUCUCUCAUGCCAUUUCUGAUUCAAUUACCGUUAGGGAGAUGCAAAGUGUUGACUAGCGGUAGUGCUGGAAUUGGUGGUUAGCUGGUCAUGAUUUUGAUUUUAGUGAACUGAAUGAAGUGCUUAAACACUAUUCAUAAGAGCAUCAUGAAGUUGAUAAGGAAGGCUAACCAGUUUAUAUUUUGAUUCGAUCUCUUCCAUAGAUUUUCAGGUCCUUCACCAAAGACUGUUAUCAACCAAUAUACAGAACUCAUUGGUCGUCCUGCUCCUGUGCCGUACUGGGCAUUUGGAUUUCAUCAGUGCCUAUACGGAUAUCAAAAUGUAUCUGUUCUCGAGGAAGUAGUUGUUGGGUAUGCAAAUGCCAGUAUCCCUCUUGAUGUAAUGUGGACAGAUAUCGAUUACAUGGAUAAGUACAAGCUUUUCACUCUUGAUCCCAUGAACUUCCCAGCAGACAAAAUGAAUGCUUUUGUGGAUAAACUUCACGAAAAUGGCCAGAAGUAUGUUGUCAUUUUUUGGAUCCUGGAAUUGGCAUUAAUAACACAUAUGGAACAGGAAUUGAAGCAGAUACAUUCAUCAAGUAUAGCGGUAAACCUUAUCAAAGCUAGUUGCCUCCAGAUCCGCAGAGGUUGUGGUGGUGGUUAGCGGCGGUGGCGGUGGGAAGUGGUGGCGCUUUGUUGUUGGUUUUGGUUGUUGGCGGUGACGGUAGUUGGCGGUGACGGUGGUUGGUGGUAGUCAUCGGUGGUGGUUGGCAGCGGCGGUGG